UACAGAGGUCUCAAGCGUUGUUCGGAUUCAUUGGGCGUAAAGGGUGCGUAGGUGGCGGGGUAAGUCAGGUGUGAAAUCUCGGAGCUCAACUCCGAAACUGCACUUGAUACUGCCUUGCUGGAGUACUGGAGAGGAGAUUGGAAUUUACGGUGUAGCAGUGAAAUGCGUAGAUAUCGUAAGGAAGACCAGUGGCGAAGGCGAACCUCUGGACAGUUACUGACACUGAGGCACGAAGGCCAGGGGAGCAAACGGG
rnacentral:rRNA from 1 species